GGAAGUGCAGUAAUGCAUUAAGCUAACCAGUACUAAUUGCCCGUACGGCUUGUCCCU
rnacentral:rRNA from 1 species